rnacentral:rRNA from 1 species
AUUGAACGCUGGCGGCAUGCCUUACACAUGCAAGUCGAACGGCAGCGGACCUUCGGGUGCCGGCGAGUGGCGAACGGGUGAGUAAUAUAUCGGAACGUACCUUUCAGUGGGGGGAUAACGUAGCGAAAGUUACGCUAAUACCGCAUAUUCUGUGAGCAGGAAAGCAGGGGAUCGCAAGACCUUGCGCUGAUUGAGCGGCCGAUAUCAGAUUAGCUAGUUGGUGAGGUAAAGGCUCACCAAGGCGACGAUCUGUAGCGGGUCUGAGAGGAUGAUCCGCCACACUGGAACUGAGACACGGUCCAGACUCCUACGGGAGGCAGCAGUGGGGAAUUUUGGACAAUGGGCGCAAGCCUGAUCCAGCCAUGCCGCGUGAGUGAAGAAGGCCU